UACAGGGGGUGCAAACGUUGCUCGGAAUUAUUGGGCGUAAAGAGCUCGUAGGCGGUCUGUCGCGUCUGCUGUGAAAACUCGGGGCUUAACCCCGGGCCUGCAGUGGGUACGGGCAGACUAGAGUGCGGUAGGGGAGACUGGAAUUCCUGGUGUAGCGGUGAAAUGCGCAGAUAUCAGGAGGAACACCGGUGGCGAAGGCGGGUCUCUGGGCCGUAACUGACGCUGAGGAGCGAAAGCGUGGGGAGCGAACAGG
rnacentral:rRNA from 1 species